rnacentral:rRNA from 1 species
GAUGAACGCUGGCGGCGUGCCUAAUACAUGCAAGUCGAGCGAACGGACGAGAAGCUUGCUUCUCUGAUGUUAGCGGCGGACGGGUGAGUAACACGUGGAUAACCUACCUAUAAGACUGGGAUAACUUCGGGAAACCGUAGCUAAUACCGGAUAAUAUUUUGAACCGCAUGGUUCAAAAGUGAAAGACGGUCUUGCUGUCACUUAUAGAUGGAUCCGCGCUGCAUUAGCUAGUUGGUAAGGUAACGGCUUACCAAGGCAACGAUGCAUAGCCGACCUGAGAGGGUGAUCGGCCACACUGGAACGGAGACACGGUCCAGACUCCUACGGGAGGCAGCAGUAGGGAAUCUUCCGCAAAGGGCGAAAGCCUGACGGAGCAACGCCGCGUGAGUGAUGAAGGUCUUCGGAUCGUAAAACUCUGUUAUUAGGGAAGAACAUAUGUGUAAGUAACUGUGCACAUCGUGACGGUACCUAAUCAGAAAGCCACGGCUAACUACGUG